rnacentral:rRNA from 1 species
CCUACGGGCGGCAGCAGUGAGGAAUAUUGGUCAAUGGGCGCGACCCUGAACCAGCCAAGCCGCGUGAGGGAAGACGGCCCUAUGGAUUGUAAACCUCUUUUGUCGGGGAGCAAAAGCCGCCACGCGUCCCGUACCGAGUGUAUCCGAAGGAAAAGCAUCGGCUAACUCCGUGCCAGCAGCCGCGGUAAUACGGAGGAUGCGCGCGUUAUCCGGAUUUAUUGGGUUAAAAGUGUGCGUAGGCGGUAGAUUAAGUCAGCGGUAAAAGUGCGGGGCUCAACCUCUUCGAGCUGUUGAAACUGGGUGACUUGAGUGAGUGAGAAGUAUGCGGAAUGCGUGGUGGAGCGGUGAAAUGCAUAGAUAUCACGCAGAACUCCGAUUGCGAAGGCAGCUUACCGGCGCUCAACUGACGCUCAGGCACGAAAGCGUGGGGAUCGAACAGGAUUAGAUACCCCUGUAGUC